rnacentral:miRNA from 1 species
UUAGAGGCUGGAAUAGGGAUU